rnacentral:rRNA from 1 species
GACGAACGCUGGCGGCGUGCUUAACACAUGCAAGUCGAACGGGCCCGCCCCUGUUUUUGGGGGUGGGUUGAGUGGCGAACGGGUGAGUAUCACGUGAGUAACCUGCCCCCUGCUCCUGGAUAACUGCUUGAAAGGGCGGCUAAUACGGGGUGUGCCGGCUGGUCCGCAUGGGCCUGGUCGGGAUAGUUUCAUCUUCGGGUGUUUCGGGGGGGGAUGGGCUCGCGGCCUAUCAGCUUGUUGGUGGGGCGAUGGCCCACCAAGGCGGUGGCGGGGGGCCGGCCUGAGAGGGUGGGCGGCCAGGCUGGGACUGAGACACGGCCCAGCCUCCUGCGGGAGGCAGCAGUGGGGGGUAUUGCACAAUGGGCGGAAGCCUGAUGCAGCGACGUCGCGUGAGGGAUGGAGGCCUUCGGGUUGUGAACCUCUUUCUCCGGUGGUGAAGGCCCUGUCCGGUGCGGCGGGGUUGACGGUAGCCGGGGAUGAAGCGCCGGCUAACUACGUG